UUAAAGACAAUGCGAAAGAUAAGUAAACUAUUUAGCGCUACUAGAGAGUUGGGGAUUGGUGGAAGCCUGAUAAGCCAACAGAUGGUUGAAUAACACUUUCUUAGUUGCAUGCCCAAAUGAAUGAUCAGAGUAGGUUUUGACGUUUUUCGGUCCGUUACCACCGAACAUGUAUGAUAGUACAUGAGUAGAGAUGUUUAUUUAGUGUAAACAAUUUGGGUGGUACCGCGAGUCCUUCGUCCCGGAG
rnacentral:ncRNA from 1 species